rnacentral:rRNA from 1 species
GAGGAAUAUUGGACAAUGGAUGGAAAUCUGAUCCAGCCAUGCCGCGUGCAGGAAGACGGCCCUAUGGGUUGUAAACUGCUUUUGUAUGGGAGCAAUAAGGACUACGUGUAGUUUGAUGAGAGUACCAUACGAAUAAGCAUCGGCUAACUCCGUGCCAGCAGCCGCGGUAAUACGGAGGAUCCGAGCGUUAUCCGGAUUUAUUGGGUUUAAAGGGUGCGUAGGUGGUUUGAUAAGUCAGCGGUGAAAGUUUGCAGCUUAACUGUAAAAAUGCCGUUGAAACUGUCGCACUUGAGUGUAAAUGAGGUAGGCGGAAUGCGUGGUGUAGCGGUGAAAUGCAUAGAUAUCACGCAGAACUCCGAUUGCGAAGGCAGCUUACUAAGCUACAACUGACACUGAAGCACGAAAGCGUGGGGAUCAAACA